CUUUUUUGAUGUACAAAUUAAUGUUGUUAAUUUGGGGGCGGCUGUUAAAAAGGUCCACCGUAAUGUAGGGAAAAUGGACCAAUCAGGGGGCAGUAUGCACGUAGGGGAAUUCCAGCAGGCUCGCGUAGUCAGUGGGGAGUAAGAGUUUAAUGCGAACUGCGAGGAGUUCUGGUUGCCGCAUUAUUGUGCCUGUUUCUAGUUGACAGUUGACAGUUGAAGCCUACUUGACAGUUGAAUGUGUGCGUGACAACUAAAAAACCACACAACUAAGUAUGUCAUCGAAUCUUCAAUAAAGAAGACCAUUGGAAA